rnacentral:rRNA from 1 species
GGAAGGGGUGUAUUUAUUAGAUAAAAAACCAAUGCCCUUCGGGGCUCCUUGGUGAAUCAUAAUAACUUAACGAAUCGCAUGGCCUUGCGCCGGCGAUGGUUCAUUCAAAUUUCUGCCCUAUCAACUUUCGAUGGUAGGAUAGUGGCCUACCAUGGUGGCAACAGGUAACGGGGAAUUAGGGUUCGAUUCCGGAGAGGGAGCCUGAGAAACGGCUACCACAUCCAAGGAAGGCAGCAGGCGCGCAAAUUGCCCAAUCCCGACACGGGGAGGUAGUGACAAUAAAUACUGAUACGGGGCUCUUUUGGGUCUCGUAAUUGGAAUGAGUACAAUCUAAAUCCCUUAACGAGGAACAAUUGGAGGGCAAGUCUGGUGCCAGCAGCCGCGGUAAUUCCAGCUCCAAUAGCGUAUAUUAAAGUUGUUGCAGUUAAAAAGCUCGUAGUUGAACCUUGGGUCUGGCUGGCCGGUCCGCCUCACCGCGAGUACUGGUCCGGCUGGACCUUUCCUUCUGGGGAAUCUCAUGGCCUUCACUGGCUGUGGGGGGAACCAGGACUUUUAC